rnacentral:misc_RNA from 1 species
AAGAUCCCUGAGCAGGCUAUAUUAUCAGAGGUUCGCCGCAUGGUUGAGGAGAUGCAAACUUUAAACUUGAAGCUAGAGGAAACUGAGGCUGCUAUUGAAGAAUACUUUAAGCCGGUUGACAAGGAAGCUGAAAUUAUAAUGAAGAUGCAGCUUGAAGGGGAGGAGAAGACAAUGAAGGAGAUGAUGAAGGUUAUGCAAACACAAGCUUUGCUUGAAAGAGCUGAAGCAGAAAAAAGUGCAAAUUCACAUAAUGUGGACACAAACCAACAUAGCCAGGAGAUGGAUUCAUCUUCCUCCACCUAGCAACAUGCUCAGAUGGGAUGAUUCCAUGAAUUUGGGUGACUUGAAGUAUAAUUAGUUUUGUAAGAGUGUAUGUCUCUUCCCUUUGGCUAAAAUAUAUUUUGGAUAUGCUUUCUGAGAUCCGGGACAUUCAGCUGUUUGAAUAAUCAAACCAAUGACUCAUGAAAUUUAUAUGAAAAUUUUUAAAAAAAAAAAAAAAAAAA